rnacentral:rRNA from 1 species
AUACAGAGGGUGCGAGCGUUAAUCGGAAUUACUGGGCGUAAAGCGCGCGUAGGCGGCUUAUUAAGUCAGAUGUGAAAUCCCCGGGCUCAACCUGGGAACUGCAUCUGAUACUGGUAAGCUAGAGUUUUGGAGAGGGAAGUAGAAUUUCAGGUGUAGCGGUGAAAUGCAUAGAGAUCUGAAGGAAUACCAGUGGCGAAGGCGACUUCCUGGCCAAAAACUGACGCUCAGGUGCGAAAGCGUGGGUAGCAAACGGGAUUAGAAACCCCUGUAGUCC